CUCUUCCUCAUGUCUUCUUCAUACAGAACUCAGCCUGGAGGAUGGGUUGGAUGAAAUAAAAACGACAACCCAAAAGCCCAAAGAGAAGCCAAAGGCACCAGAGCAGCC